GCACCCGUGGUCUAGUGGUAAAGACUCACGAAAUGAUACGAGCUUCCCAAGCUUGUGUUACGGGUUCGAUUCCCGUCGGGUGCA
rnacentral:tRNA from 1 species